rnacentral:tRNA from 1 species
GGGGAUUUAGCUCAGUGGUAAGAGCGCUUGCCUAGGAAGGGCAAGGCCCUGGGUUCGGUCCCCAGCUCCG